rnacentral:rRNA from 1 species
UACGUAGGGUGCGAGCGUUGUCCGGAAUUACUGGGCGUAAAGAGCUCGUAGGUGGUUUGUCGCGUCGUCUGUGAAAUUCCGGGGCUUAACUCCGGGCGUGCAGGCGAUACGGGCAUAACUUGAGUACUGUAGGGGAGACUGGAAUUCCUGGUGUAGCGGUGAAAUGCGCAGAUAUCAGGAGGAACACCGGUGGCGAAGGCGGGUCUCUGGGCAGUAACUGACGCUGAUGCACGAAGGUGUGGGUAUCAAACAGG